GCGGGCUGUGGUAGUAGCAGCCGUAGUCUCCGCUCUGUAUCUAGCAUGGAGGAAGCUAUGAGGGGGCAGCAAGAAAAGUUUCGUGAAGAGCUACGGCAACAACAAAUGGCAUUCCUCCAACAACAAUCAGAGUACAUGACUGCUUACAACGCACAUGCGCAACAAGCAAUGAACUCUUAGUUUCCACAGCAGACACAACAACAACCAUUUGUUUUCCCUCAGUUUCAGCCGCCGAUGCCUCAGUGGGGAUUACAUGCUCCGCCACCUCCACCUCCACCUCAAGUUCUUCAAUUUAGUUAAGACUUGUCGUUUGUAUCAAUCUAAUUUCAAAUCUUUACUAAACUUGAUUUUGUAGAGAUCCGGGGUCAUGGGCCACAACACGCCACCACCGGUCAUACCAGCACCAGGAGGAGCUUAUGCAGGGGAGGGAGCUACUCCAGGAGAGAAUCCAAACCCGUUACACGACUUCGUCAACGAGUUUUUCGCUUCUGGAGGUAGUGGACACAACUCCAAUGAUCCCGAUAUGUGAUG